rnacentral:lncRNA from 1 species
AACUACUUUUUUCAUGAGAAAUGUCUACUAUUUAGAUGAGAAAAAUCAUAAAAAAAAGACUUUCUUGAAAUCAAAAUUGUUCUUGAGAUUGAAUUAUAAAUUGAAGAUGAAAGUUGCAAAGUUUACAUUUAACAUAAGACACAACUACUCUUUUCAUGAGAAAUGUCUAUCAUUUAGGGUUGACCGCUUUGAUUGGGGCCCAAACAUUGGCGAAUUAAAAUGAUUUUUCUACCGUAGCCGUAUUUUAACAUACCGAUCACAUCCUAUUUCACGAGAUUUUUGAAAAUUUUGCUUCCUCUAUAUAGUUGGUUCACAAAGUUGUACACUAGCAUAUAACCUACCAAACAAGUUAUACCACAUUAGUAGGCACGUUGUGAUUCUGAUGACUGAAAUUCAGACGUAAUUGUGAAGUGGGUCUCGCCAGUGGUCCGUGACAUUUUUCGGUAAAUUCCGACACCGGAGCUAUUUUCUAGGCAUUUUUAAAGUUUUGAAAUGGUGGAAAAAAAAGUAAAACUUUAAUGAUAUGGACAAAUUAGUGACUUAGGACGAAUGAGGUCGCGACAUGUGGCAAUUAGUGUUGAAUUUUCAGAAAAUGAAUCCCCCCGAAAUGGAAACUUACCAUUCCUUUUAUAGUAGAUUUCCAUAAAUAGUAACUUUCGUUUUUAAAGCAUAACUAUCCUCCCACAAUAUAAACUUACCCUUCCUUUUAUAGUUGAUUUCCAUAAAUAGUAACUUUUGUUUUUAGAGCAUAACUAUCCUCCUCAAAAUGGAAACUUACCUUUCCUUUUAUAGUUGAUUUCCAUAAAUAGUAACUUUCGUUUUUAGAGUAUAACUAUCCCCCCGAAAUGGAAACUUACC